rnacentral:rRNA from 1 species
GAUGAACGCUGGCGGCGUGGAUAAGGCAUGCAAGUCAAGGGGGCCCGCAAGGGCAACCGGCAGACGAGGUAGUAAUGAUCAGGAAUGUCCCUUCAAGUCUCGAAUAGCUAUCCGAAAGGGUAGGUAAUACGAGAUAGUCCCUUCGGGGUAAAGAUUUAUCGCUUGAAGAACAGCCUGAUUGGUAUCAUCUAGUUGGUAGGGUAAUGGCCUACCAAGGCAAUGACGCCUAGGGGACCUGAGAGGGUGACCCCCACCGAUGGGACUGAGACACGGCCCAGACUCCUACGGGAGGCAGCAGUGGGGAAUAUUGGACAAUGGGCGCAAGCCUGAUCCAGCCAUGCCGCGUGAGUGAUGAAGGCCUUAGGGUUGUAAAGCUCUUUCGCCGGUGAAGAUAAUGACGGUAACCGGAGAAGAAGCCCCGGCUAACUUCGUGCCAGCAGCCGCGGUAA